rnacentral:rRNA from 1 species
UUGGACCUGAUAUCAAGGCAAGAUGACCCAGCUGAACUAA